AUACAAAUGACUUGACAAAAAUCAAUUAGCAGUAAUAUAGCUCCUUGCAGAAAGUAAUAAAGCUAAGCAGGCUUUAAAAGGAUCAUCAUGCCCUUGAAUACAUUAUGGUGGCAGUAUGCAAGAGGCAACAUUGGUAAAGGUAUAUCUUUUUUGUAUAAAAAAAAUAGAAACAAAAACACUACCUGUGAUAUAGCUCAUCUAUUGUCUGACCUAUAGGCAAAGCCAUUUAAAUAAAGUCGUUCUAGUUCUGUCCUCUUUCAUGCAAUUCACAUGGCAGUAUGUCUGCCUUGAAGGCAUAUACACAGUUUCAUUUGAGCCAGCAGUUGGUCUGUCUUUUAAGAAUACUUGCAACAUUGGUAAUUAGUAUCUAGGAGACGUGCCCAGAAUGAAGUUAACACAGGAUCUGAGAUAGGUUGGCACAGGAAACUUUAGUAGACAAUCUUUGAUACAAAGUAGUACUAUUUGUUGUAUACAACUGGUUUAAUUCUAGCUUUCCAGCCUUUUUUUAAAAG